AGAGUGAGACUCCAUCUCAAAAAAAAUAAAAAUAAAAAAAAAGAAAAGAUGAAAGUGCAGACUUGUGGCCAGUAUCUCCCUCUGGCCUUUCACCCUCCUCCCAUCCUGUCCUGUCUUACUUCAUCUCCCACUUCCUCUCCUGUCACUGCCGUUUGUUCUUUCCCUGUCCUGGGCCUGUCGUUAAUCCCCGUUGGAGCUGGAAUCUGCAGCUCCAACUUUGUUUAAUGAGAAGGGUGAGAUAGGGCGGCCAGGAAGGCCUGGAGUCAGAGGCUCAGCCCAAGCUUAGUUACCAAGUCAUGGAACAGGUCUGAGCUUCCCAUACUGCUGGGGCAACAGAUGUGUUAAGUGUACCAGCCCCAAAACGAUGACCCGGGGUGUCCUGUGGGGACCUGGCUGCCACCCUCCUUAACAACAGCUCCAGGGUGGGAGUCUGGCCCUCAAAGAUCAGGGCAGCUGAGGCCAACCAGGCUCCUGGGGACUGACUCACACUAAGGCAUUUACACAACAAAUGCCCAAACCCUCUCUAAUGCACAGGUACUUCCAGGCCUGCCAAAGCCCCUGUCUUGGUAAGGGUCCCCAGAGAAGGUACACAGAGACCCAAGCCAGCAGCCAGGGAUGGUGCCAUUGCAUCUCUGCACCCACUUCCUCAGAUCCAGGCCUGAGAACACAAGCACCCUUCCUCCUCCCCACCAGGACCAGAUAGCCCAGCACUUUCCGCCAUUGUCUGGGAGUUUUGGAACCACUGACUGACUCUUCGAGCACCAGGCUUUUCCCUUGGUCCUCAGCACUGGGUGGGGAGCCCUACAUCCCAGAAGUCUUGGGAAACAGGGUGGAGCGGAAUCGCCUAUCACAGCCAAACAAGACUCUCCAGGAGGAAAUACAGCAGAGACCUGCUCAGGGCUUAGCAAACAGUGACAAAGGUGAGGUGAAGCCAGUCUGGACGCACACCAGUUCGGGAUGAUCUGAGGAAUGUCAGGCAGUCCCUAUAUCCUCAGAUGUGUCCCCAUCCACCUGGCACAUGUCUGGAACUUCGCCAUUACAGAGACUUCAGUGUCUGCUUUUUUUUUUUAUUUUUAAAUUAAUUAAUUAUUUAUUUAUUUUUAAAAUAGAGAUGGGGUCUUGAUAAGUUGCUCAGGCGGGUCUCGAAUUCCUGGGCUCAAGCGAUUCGCCCACCUCAGCCUCCCAAAAUGCUGGGAUUACAGGCGUGAGCCACCGCACCCAGCCCAGUGUCUGCUUUUAAGAUGCACUGUUUGGAAAGUCAGGUGAUUCAACAUUGCAGCCACAUAAACCAGGUCUGAGUUUGCAUGUCACCCCUGACUGGGUCAAGAGUGGGUGUGUUUUGGUAAUGGGGGCAUUUAGAAGCAGGGGCACUGCCAGGAAAGGAGGCAGCCUGAGAACGCUGUUCUAUGUGACAGGAAUCCUCAGGAUCAAAGGCCUUAAGACAACAGUUGUGACCUCACAGAUAAACCCCAGAGCAGACACUGGGGCCAGGUAUCUGGGACAGGAAGUGGCUGUGAGAAGCAGGAACCAAUGUAAAACCCCUCAACAGCCUCAGCAUUUCCAAGGGCUCAGUCUUCAUAGAAAUGGGUUACUAGGACAUAUCACCUAUGGGUAGCAUUUGGGGAAAUCCUUCAGGGUCCAUGUGGACAGGAUGUUUGGGGGUUCACAUUUAUAGCAAACACACAGCACAGAAGCCACUACUGCUGCCUCCUAGCCCAUGGCAGACACUGACAUUGCCAAUCUAUCACCAUACCGCUGCGGAGCCCUUCUCCCCACAGUGAUCCAAAAAGUCACUGCCAAUCUAUCAGAAUUAGCACGAGGCCAGGUGCCAU
rnacentral:lncRNA from 1 species